rnacentral:rRNA from 1 species
AUUGAACGCUGGCGGCAGGCCUAACACAUGCAAGUCGAACGAGUGGCGGACGGGUGAGUAUUGUCUGGGAAACUGCCCGACGGAGGGGGAUAACUACUGGAAACGGUAGCUAAUACCGCAUACCAUCGGAUGUGCCCAGAUGGGAUUAGCUAGUAGGUGGGGUAACGGCUCACCUUGGCGACGAUCCCUAGUUGGUCUGAGAGGAUGACCUGCAAUCCUGGAACUGAGACACGGUCCAGACUCCUACGGGUGGCAGCAGUGGGGAAUAUUGCACAAAGGGCGCAAGCCUGAUGCAGCCAUGCCGCGUGUAUGAAGAAGGCCUUCGGGUUGUAAAGGACUUUCAGCGAGGAGGCGUUACGCGCAGAAGAAGCACCGGCUAACUCCGUGCCAGCCGCCGCGGUGAUUC